rnacentral:rRNA from 1 species
UACGGAGGGUGCAAGCGUUGUCCGGAAUUAUUGGGCGUAAAGAGCUCGUAGGCGGUCUGGCGCGUCGGCUGUGAAAUCCCGAGGCUCAACCUCGGGUCUGCAGUCGAUACGGGCAAACUAGAGUAUUGCAGGGGAGACUGGAAUUCCUGGUGUAGCGGUGAAAUGCGCAGAUAUCAGGAGGAACACCGGUGGCGAAGGCGGGUCUCUGGGCAAUAACUGACGCUGAGGAGCGAAAGCGUGGGGAGCGAACAGG